GAGGUGAAAAGAGGAAAGGCAGAGGGUAAACAGCUUUUGAGUCGCAUCGUCUGCUUUUUCCUGUUGGUCUUAGGGGCUCUUCCUGUUUCCCAUCUCGCCGCCGUUGCCAUGCGUGUGUUUGUGUGCCCGCUUAUCUGCGAGCACUUCCUCUUCCACAGCUCCGAGAGUUUGUUUGCAUUUUAAAAUCACAUCAAAGGGAGGACUGUCUGAGACAUUCCUGGGAGAAAGAUAAGAUGCUUUGAAGUGCAUAGGACACAGGCAUGAAAUCUUGAUUGCCCCAUCUCUCCUCAACUACCUGCAUCAGACCUUUGGAAACCACACGAAAUGACACACUGUACAUUCCUUCAGUGUCACAAAUAAG